rnacentral:rRNA from 1 species
AACUCUUAGCGGUGGAUCACUGCUCAGGUGUCGAUGAAGAACGCAGCUAGCUGCGAGAACUAAUGUGAUUUGCAGGACACAUUGAUCAUCGACACUUCGAACGCACCUUGCUGCCCGGGUUCCUCCCGGGGCAACUCCUUUCUGAGGGUCG